CCGGGGGCGCCACCGCCGCUUCCGGCCCCGCCCCGGGCCGGGCCUGUCCUUGGCCGGGAGUCCCGCCGUUGGGCGGCCGCUUCUCGGCGGGCCCUGGGACAGACCGCUCCCCCCGGUGAGACCCUGGGGAAGUUACGUGAAGAGACAAAUUGAAGAAAUUUGUCUUUAUCUUUUCACCAGUUCAAAUCUUCAACACCAGUUUGACGUCAUCUCAAACAAGAUCUCAGAAAUCUGGAAGAUGCUGUGAAGACAUUGGACAGAUGCCAUGGCAACAGCCUCCAAAGGAAGUAUAUUGGUUUGGCUGCCUGUGAGGGUUUGCUGCCAGAGGAAUUAUUCUCAUCCUUUAUGGGAUAAAAAUAAUCUUGUUCAUUUACAUGUCUUCAAACCUGUUAGGGAAGAAAGGUUUUUGGUAUCGUCAUGCAGUUAUCUUUAGUUCUUGGGAACAUUGGGUACUUUUAGGGUAGAGAACAGGCAGAGCUGUGGCUGACCCAGUACCAUCCCAGAAGUUCUUAGCCCCCGUGCAGGUUGCAAAUGAGGACAGAGUCCACCAUCCAUAGCGAACUCCAGCUUGCUCAAAACCCACAGACUCGUGUGCUGGCAGCUGCUGAAUGGCGCCAGCCUAAAUUCAGCGCUGGCUAAGUCACCCUUCUUUUAUGCAUAGGAAGUAGUAUGAAACUGAGAAGGUGGCGUGUCUGCGUUUCAAGGCUGCCUUUUUUCAGUAGGGAACAGCAGUCUGUCACUGCAGUCGGUGGCCCACUGCCACUUCCGCACGGUACUUUUGGUCCAGCCAGGUCCAAUGAUGGGAGAAACUCUGUCGCCCCAGCAAUCAGGGAUCCUGUUAAGCAUCUAGAUCAGGGUUUACUGAAUACCAUGGAGGCAGGUGCCUUUUUAGCACCAUGUUCUGCAGCCUGUCCAGUCUGAUUGGGGAUUGAAAAACAGAAGCAAAAUGCAACACUGGAUAUGCCCAUCCAUUUUUUCUUCCAUGCUUCUGAGGUACAAGCCCCUCUUCCUCCAGCUGAUCCCACCAAAGGCCCACAGACCUUCCUGACCUCCUUGCUCUCCUCUGGCACUUUGCUGGGGAAGACGAGAGCCCAGUCCUUUCCACAGAUGGAUUGUAACAGCCUUACAAGUAAGUCCAGCUGAGGGAGAGGGAGAAUAAAAUAAGGGCUGACUAGGCAGUAGAGAAUAAGGUGGGUAUGAGCACCAAAUAACCUCAGUGGCAUUUAUUUUGCACAAGUUUGGUGUCAUGCUGCCACGUCACACUGUCACCAGGGUGCAGUGCAGCCAUACAGUCCCUGAUGUGACCAUGGUGGGAUUUGCUCAAAAAAAUAAAGAGUACUUGUACUGCUUCUACAAAACUUGAACACUGCUGGAACAACUUGUGUGUGGCAAAUGCAAGACUGAUAUUCAAGCGAUUUCUGUGUAAUGUCAUCAUAUGGCAUCACUUGUGCACAUGUGUGGUGCCAUUUGCAAAAGUUUGGGUGACUUCAAGGAUAGGAAAGAAUAGAAGCUAACUGGCGCUUAAUACCAAUUGUUUUCAGAUGUGCAGACAAGCUGAAGUCUUUCUUUUAGGGCAAAGGAAUGCCUUUCAGUAUCCUCUUGGAUAUUGAUCACUUUGACCUAGGUAACAACAUCUCAGGAAUGCCGCAAGAGAACUGAGGAGUUAAAGGGCAACCCUAUCAUGAGGAUCAGUUUGGAUACCUUUGUGUCAUCUGAUAUCAUCUUGGUUUGCAGAGGUAGACACCUCGGUUGGAAUUAGUGGGAAAGAAACUACACCAAAUAUCUUUUACCAAGCAGCCACAAGAAACUUUAGUUGUAUAGUACUCAGAUUCUUCUGUUUGAAAAGAAAACUUCCAUGUGUGAAUUUGAACCAGAAACACUGGUCGCCACAAGAUGACAGUAUAGUUCAACUAAAAUUUUUCUCCUAAACAACCCGGUAAAAACUCUCUAAACAGCAACAGUAAAUUAGGUUAAUAAAUUGAAAACAAUGUUAUCCAUGCAAUUCUUAAAUCUCUAUGACAAUAAUGGAAAGUAUAAGCCAACAGCAAUGCUUACGAAAAAAGCUGUUGCAUGCUGCUAAGAAACUAAUGAUUAUAAUACAAAAGGCUUUCUAUUUGUUUAAAAUGAAGAUGGGUGGAAGAAAAUAAAACAGCUGUCACUAAGUUGCAAAAUUUCUUGUUAAAAUAUAGUGGAAAUUAUUUAAAACAAUAUAAAACUUCUUGCAUAACAAAGCUUAUACAAUGUAUAAAAUACUUUUGCUUCCUGUAGCCAAUACUGGGUGGGAAGGGAAGAGCCCCUUUAUCACAACUGCACACUCUAUCCAUGCAUUCAGACUCUUCUUUUUUUACAUAAAAACCAGCACAAACUAUGACCUCACAUGUAGCACACUGAAAUCAAUGCCAGAGUUUAAUAAUAAAAAUCAAUUAUUCAAACUCUCUCUGAAGAUACUCUCCAAGUAUUUUUCUCAGUACUGUAUUAGAAUUCUUCAUCGUCAGUCAGUCUAUUUCUGAUGGCACGAAUAGGUUCUGGACAGCAGAGGUAGCUACAAACCUGGGGCACACCCGUUACAGAAUGCAACAGCGUGAUUCAGAGUUUUAAAUUAAAUUUCCUUAGCUUUUUUGGUUGGUUGGUUGGUUGGUUGGUAUUAAAUGCUUAUAGUUAGAUACAUUACAGAGUUACAGUGUGUUGUUGCAACAAAGAAACAGUAUUGCCAGAAGGGAUUUCACUGCUGGCCUCAAGCUUGCAGAGGUGGUUUCAUGGCAAUAUGGGCUGAGCACCUGAAGGGGAGCACAGGAGAAAGUUACAAGUUCAUGUACAAGGUGACAGCCAUUUUCUUCUCAGUUGUAUAGCAAAUAAAUACUCUUGUCUUUCUGAUGUUAUUUUUCCCCAGGGCUGGGUACUGGGGCCGGUUCUCUUUAACAUCUUUAUCAAUGAUCUGGACGAGGGGAUCGAGUGCACUCUCAGUAAGUUUGCAGACAACAGCAAGCUGGGUGGCAGUGUUAAACUGCUGGAGGGUAGACCCUGGGAGUGUUGGUUGACAGCCCACUGACCAUGAGCCCGUGGUGUGCCCAGGUGGCCAAGAAGGCCAACAGCAUCCUGGCCUGUUUCAGGAAGA